rnacentral:rRNA from 1 species
AUAGAACGCUGGCGGCAUGCCUUACACAUGCAAGUCGAACGGCAGCACGGACUUCGGUCUGGUGGCGAGUGGCGAACGGGUGAAUAAUGUAUCGGAACGUACCUUUCAGUGGGGGAUAACUAUCCGAAAGGAUAGCUAAUACCGCAUAUUCUGUGAGCAGGAAAGCAGGGGAUCGCAAGACCUUGCGCUGAUUGAGCGGCCAAUAUCAGAUUAGCUAGUUGGUGGGGUAAAGGCCUACCAAGGCUACGAUCUGUAGCGGGUCUGAGAGGAUGAUCCGCCACACUGGAACUGAGACACGGUCCAGACUCCUACGGGAGGCAGCAGUGGGGAAUUUUGGACAAUGGCGGCAACCCUGAUCCAGCCAUGCCGCGUGAGUGAAGAAGGCCUUCGGGUUGUAAAGCUCUUUCGUCCGGGAAGAAAUCGCAUCAGCUAAUACCUGGUGUGGAUGACGGUACCGGAAUAAGAAGCACCGGCUAACUACGUGCCAGCAGCCGCGGUAAAAC